rnacentral:lncRNA from 1 species
AGCUGGAGGGGCCGCGGCGGCGCCGGGGGUGCCAGCCGCCUCCUCUGGCCGCCGGCCCGUCGGCCCUGCAAAGUUUAACGCCAAUUCCCCUUGCGUCCUGGGAGCCGAGCGUUUUCUCUCCCUGCUGACGCUCCCAGCAGCUCUGCCUGGCCAGGCCAGGCUGGAGAGCACCCGGACCAUUUUCCAGACGGUGAGAUGGAGCCCUGGAAACCGAGCUUAUGAGCAGCCCGGAGCUUUCCAUUGCCUGCCCAGCCUUCCAGAUACAUCCCAGUUCCAGUUCUUUCCAGAGCCCUCUGGGAUCCAGCCAGCCUGCUUCCCCGCCAGGGCCUCACUGCUUCCAAAAACCCAUUUCACCUUCACAGCCUACUUCCCAGAAAUUUGGUGGCUGCCUCUGUGCUAUGAUUUGGUUGCUACCUGCUGAAGCUUCAACCUCUCAUCACUACCAGAAGGACCACAUCACUAAAAGUCCAUCAAUGGGGUUACUCACUUUGAUGGGCCUGUGCAGCGUCAUUCAGGAAGCCCGUGGUACUCACAUCACUCUGGCCAGACGCUAACAAGAAAAUGAUCCACUGUGACGCAGCCGACCCCAUCCAGUGCAUCCACAUUACCUGGAAAGAAGCAAUUAUGCCCCUUUGGUUUCCUUGGAAAUGCUUGGUCUGUCUCUACCAUCCGCCCUGGCUCUUGAGAAAUACUCAUGCACGGUAGAGCUUUGACAGGGAGACAGUGUGUUUAUUUUCCAACUGAAAGUUUACAGAAUACAAAGUGAGCCUGUAAGAUGGUGGCCACUCUCCAGAGGCUUGUUGGUCAGACAGGAAAGAAAACCAGUGCACCAUCGGGAACGUGGAGGAGGCUGAAAGAGAGGGACAAACAUAUUGGAUUGGAUUGGGCCCCCACAGUCAAGUUCCUGCAAACCAAGCUGGGAGAUUUUCCUGACUAAGGGUUAUGUUCUUGGGCCUCAAAGCUCCCCAGCCAACGCCCAGCUUCUGUGCCGAGGAGGAUACAGGAGGACAGACACAGCCUCUGUGUCAGGAGGAGGGAAGAAGGACUAAUGUCUGUGGACACUCUGAGGCUCACAGGGAGAAGCCACACACUCGCAGCACCAGGUCUGUGGUUUUUCAUGACCCUACACUGUCCCCUAGAAGGAAGUACCACCCAGCAGAAACAGAAGCCAAGGAAUUUCCCCAUAGAGAUCAUGGCAUGGGCUUGAGUUCAAGAACUCAAUGGACAGCGGGCAGAAAUUGGAAAGCCCAGAGCCUCCACCACUAACUCCUGUGUGACUUCUAUGAGUAAACAGAGGCUUGGAGGGGUGAUGAAAUUUGCCAACAGUCAUCAAUCGUUCCAGGAACAGGUGAUGCUUCCCGGCAGUGAGACUCGAAACCAGCGGGAGUUCCCAGCCAGAGACAUGAUCUAAGUGCCAAUGGCUGAAUGUCUGUGAGCAUUUCAAGUCAUUUUAAGAAUAGGCAACAUUAGCGGCACCAUUAAAGCCUGCUGUUCCUCCAGCCCAUCACUGCCAUCCCCACCUAUUAAAAUAAUGGCAUGAAAAAUAAACAGCCUUUAUGUACA